GAGGGUGUAGCUCAGUGGUAGAGCACGUGCUUAGCAUGCCUGUUGUCCUGGAUUCAAUCCCCAGCACCUCUG
rnacentral:tRNA from 1 species